rnacentral:rRNA from 1 species
UACGGGGGGGGCAAGCGUUGUUCGGAAUUACUGGGCGUAAAGGGCUCGUAGGCGGCCAACUAAGUCGGAUGUGAAAUCCCCAGGCUCAACUUGGGAACUGCAUCCGAUACUGGAUGGCUUGAAUUCGGGAGAGGGAUGCAGAAUUCCAGGUGUAGCGGUGAAAUGCGUAGAUAUCUGGAGGAAUACCGGUGGCGAAGGCGGCAUCCUGGACCGAGAUUGACGCUGAGGAGCGAAAGCUAGGGGAGCAAACGGG